GCGAAAGUAGCUCAAUUGGUAGAGCGUCACCUUGCCAAGGUGAAGGUAGCGAGUUCGAAACUCGUCUUUCGCU
rnacentral:tRNA from 1 species